rnacentral:rRNA from 1 species
AUUGAACGCUGGCGGCAUGCCUUACACAUGCAAGUCGAACGGCAGCACGGGAGCAAUCCUGGUGGCGAGUGGCGAACGGGUGAGUAAUAUAUCGGAACGUGCCCAGUCGUGGGGGAUAACGUAGCGAAAGCUACGCUAAUACCGCAUACGAUCUACGGAUGAAAGCGGGGGAUCGCAAGACCUCGCGCGAUUGGAGCGGCCGAUAUCAGAUUAGCUAGUUGGUGGGGUAAAAGCUCACCAAGGCGACGAUCUGUAGCUGGUCUGAGAGGACGACCAGCCACACUGGAACUGAGACACGGUCCAGACUCCUACGGGAGGCAGCAGUGGGGAAUUUUGGACAAUGGGCGCAAGCCUGAUCCAGCAAUGCCGCGUGCAGGAUGAAGGCCUUCGGUUGUAAACUGCUUUGUACGGUACGAAACGGUGAGCUCUAAUAAAGACUUGCUAAUGACGGUACCGUAAGAAUAAGCACCGGCUAACUACGUG